CUUCAGGGAGCUGAAUUUGAGGUGGAGUUGUGGGAACUCAUCCAUUCCUCAUCAGAUUGUAUGCUAACCCCUAUCUGACAUUAUUGCUGCUCACACUUUAUAUGCCAGAAUAAAAUUCCAAGACAGUGGAGAAAUGCCACCUCAUGAUGCGAAGCACCUGCUUGGCUGGGAACCGAUUUCGAGUUAAAUUCAAGGGAACCUGUGGACAGGACUGCCGGUAUCUCUCUCUGGGCUGGACUCAGGACAAAGAAAAACAGGGAGAUGUCCAUUUUUUGAUGUGGUGUUCUCCUCUUCUUUAUAGAAGAGUAAAUUUUUUUCUUUUUUUCUUUUUUUUGCAGUAGGAGUUGAUAUGGACUCCAACGAGUCUCUGCAAGCCUUCCAAUUCACUGCGUAUUCAUAAUCCACAGAAAAAUAAAAAAAACAGAGCCCCACAGCCCAAGCAGAGCCACACAGAUAGGUUACAAAAAAAUUGGUAGACACAUGAAAAAGAAGUGUUGAAGUGCGUUAGCCACAUUUCUUUAAGCCAGCUCCACUUACAGGCAUGCACACACACACAAACACAUAAUGCCACACACACACACACAUACAGACAUUUAACACUUACAACACUCCCCCAGAAACACACAGCCAGAUAGCUCUUGAGUCUGUGUGGUUUUGCAGAAAGCCCCACCUGUGAGAGAGUAAACUCGGGGAACACAGUGGGGAUGUACCUAGAAAUCACAGAGGGGCAACUUUCAAAAAGACUCACCCAUCAGGCAGGCCUGGGGAAUCCUGAAGGUCCCUUUGUAUCCUUAGGGAUUUCAUACCCCUCCACAAAAAGAAGGCUGUGCAGUUGAAAUGAAACAGUGGCUAGAUUACCAGUAAGAAGCCAGACAUGACGGCCUUCUUCUCAUGCUACAGGAAUCAUGCAGCCUUCCAAUAGAAUUGGGAGAACAGGAGUUUCCUUGUUGGAGGCUGUAAUGAAAAUUUAUGGUUUUAAAAGUAUCAAAGCUGUCCAGCCAUUAAAACGUGAUAGUGUUUAGAAGGAAACACUCAAGCAAUGAAUUCCCAUGAGUGCCAUUCUCCGUGUACUGGGAAACUUUUCAUGUGAAAGUAAUUGAGCCAGAAUCAGAAAACCCUGGGCUGACAUGGAACAUGGAAAUCACAAAAGGAAGAGGCAAGUCAAGAACCCACAUCCCAACAAGCAUUAAUCCAUUCUACUCCCCACUGAAAUUGGCAGUUUGCAAAGAUAGCCCCAAUUUGCACUCCAAAUAUUUCUCACACUUUAGAGUACUCCCUCCUGAACAAUGGGCAAUGGUGUGGAAUGCUUGUGCAAUUAAGGGAAUGUGGGGAUGGAGUUGGA
rnacentral:lncRNA from 1 species